rnacentral:rRNA from 1 species
GGACGUGAUAAGCUGCGAAAAGUCACGGUGAGGUGCAAAUAACUUUUGACCCGUGAAUGUCCGAAUGGGGAAACCCACUAUGUUGAAGACAUAGUAUCCGAAAGGAAGCAAACCCGGUGAACUGAAACAUCUAAGUAACUGGAGGAAAAGAAAACAAAAGUGAUUCCCUAAGUAGUGGCGAGCGAACGGGGAAUAGCCCAAACCAGAAUUGUUUAGGCAAUUUUGGGGUUGUAGGACUGUAAU